UAAUACGGAGGGUGCAAGCGUUAAUCGGAAUUACUGGGCGUAAAGCGCACGCAGGCGGUUUGUUAAGUCAGAUGUGAAAUCCCCGGGCUCAACCUGGGAACUGCAUUUGAAACUGGCAAGCUAGAGUCUCGUAGAGGGGGGUAGAAUUCCAGGUGUAGCGGUGAAAUGCGUAGAGAUCUGGAGGAAUACCGGUGGCGAAGGCGGCCCCCUCGGAGAAGACUGACGCUCAGGUGCGAAAGCGUGGGAGCAAACAGGAUUAGAUACCCUGGUAGUCCACGCUGUAAACGAUGUCGAUUUGGAGGUUGUGCCCUUGAGGCGUGGCUUCCGGAGCUAACGCGUUAAAUCGACCGCCUGGGGAGUACGCCGCAAGGUUA
rnacentral:rRNA from 1 species